rnacentral:rRNA from 1 species
UACGGAGGGUGCAAGCGUUAUCCGGAUUCACUGGGUUUAAAGGGUGCGUAGGCGGGUCGAUAAGUCAGGGGGGAAAUCUUCGAGCUUAACUCGGAAACUGCCGUUGAUACUAUUUGUCUUGAAUAUCGUGGAGGUGAGCGGAAUAUGUCAUGUAGCGGUGAAAUGCUUAGAUAUGACAUAGAACACCAAUUGCGAAGGCAGCUCGCUACACGAAUAUUGACUCUGAGGCACGAAAGCGUGGGGAUCAAACAGG